AAGAAAAUAAACAAAGAGAGAACUGAUUUAGUUAAUCUAGUCCAACCAGAUUCUACCUUAUAUCUUUAGUCAAGAGUGUUUCCGACAACAAUGAUUGAUAUAUGGCCUCUUGGUGAAAUAGUCUGAGCAAAGUCUGACUACUGCGUCACAUUUCUUUUUAAUAGCCCUAUUCUAGUUCAAACCGCUGAGUGACUGUGCGUUAGUCGUUGACUGUAGGCAUAGAUUAACCUGGACAAACAAAACAAACAUUAAAAACUGGUGAUUCAUGUAAUGUUGUUGCUGCUGCUGCUGCUGCUGACAAAGUCACACACGUCAAAGCUAGAGUAGGUUUAGAUUUUCUGACGGGCAAACAUGUAAAAAGCAUAUGAACGUUCUCAUUAUUCCCGGUGUGGUUCACAGGAUUAUUAAUGAUUUAACGAAAUAACAAAACAGCAGCAGUGCGCUGACGUAAAAAAAGAUGCAAAAGAAAACAGAUGACAUUAUGUAACUUGCUAGUUUAACCUACAUCAUGACGUGAUGAGAGCGUUCCCCGUGAGUGUAGCCUCAUGUGAGAGGCGCUACAGGUUGCCAUGGUGAGUGCUGAUACUGACCUGUAGUCACCCUGAUUUGUUUCACCAGUUGGUUUGUCUCCACCCAGGUGUUCCCGAGUUCCCCUCUUGUCAUGUCUCCCAACCACGGACCUGCCUUCCCCAGUGUACCUCUGCCAUUCGGUCCUGAUACCGACCUCUGACCUCCCACCGACCUCUGAC